rnacentral:lncRNA from 1 species
UAACAUACAAUACAUUAAUAUUUGUCUUGCAUCUCUUUUGGUACAGAUGUUUAGAAAUUUGAUUUGCACUUUCAUUGAAGUUCUAGUUUCACCAAGUGGAGAUAUACUUUUUUAAUUUUUAAAUUAAAAAUAAUAAGUUAGGUGUUAAUUGGUUAUUCUUGAUUAAUUAGUUUCUAACAAGAGUUUUUCAUAAAGUUUCUAACAAGAGUUUUUCAUAAAGUUUUACAAAUU